rnacentral:rRNA from 1 species
CACCUACGGGACGCAGCAGUGAGGAAUAUUGGUCAAUGGACGCAAGUCUGAACCAGCCAUGCCGCGUGCAGGAAGACGGCUCUAUGAGUUGUAAACUGCUUUUGUACGAGGGUAAAUCCCGAUACGUGUAUCGGGUUGAAAGUAUCGUACGAAUAAGGAUCGGCUAACUCCGUGCCAGCAGCCGCGGUAAUACGGAGGAUUCAAGCGUUAUCCGGAUUUAUUGGGUUUAAAGGGUGCGCAGGCGGUCUGUUAAGUCAGCGGUCAAAGCCCGGGGCUCAACCCCGGCCCGCCGUUGAAAAUGGCAG